AAAUAUAAUUAAACAUUUGGCAACGUUUUUGCAACAAGUCUCACGCGCAGUCUAUUCACUUAUUUGUUCACUCCCUUUUGAUAUAGUGCACUCAACUGCCAUACACUAUAUAGGGAUUAGUGAAGGAGUGAGUGAUUUCGGACACAGCUAGGUUAAACAGUUGCUUAAGAUUAAUAGGAAAACACCAGACAGGGUUAUGUAUACAUUGUGGUGAAGUGGAAAGUGUAAAACGUGUACUCAUGAUAUGUUUAGGAAAUAUUCUGAAAAAGAAAAGAACUACAGAGGGAAUCGAAUAAUUGAUUGAGCUUAAAAAACGGAUUGAGUCUGCCUGGCACACAAUAUAUUAUUAAGGCUAUCAUGACUUUUCUAAAAGAAAUUCAGUUGUAAAUAGGAUUUAAUAUAAUUAAGGAAUUUUUUUUUUUUUUUUUAAUACACAGAGUAGAAUUGAACAUUUUAUAUGCCGUCCACACUGCCGUCCAUGUACUUCGUUUGCAAACCGCCAAAGAAAAACCACAGAAGAAGAAGUGCGUUCGGCUCUUUUCUUUUACUGUCUAUGGUUCGGCUCUGCGGAUUUGAAAGUAUACAAUUGUAUCACACGUGCAAUGCAGAUAAGCAAGCUCAAAAACUGCUCGACCAUAAUUAAUUUACAGUUAAUUACAAUGUCAAAGGAAACAUCAGGUAAAUAUUUCCUGACUUUCAGGGGAGAAAUUAGUUACAGCAAAGAAGUAACCAUGUCUUGGACAUCCGCCUCAAACAUUAUUGAACGUAAAUUAAUAUUUGUUUAAUUAAGUUCAAAUAAGUAACGUAAAACGUUGAAGGAAAUGAUUGGUCUAAUUCUAGGGAAUUAAUAAUUUAGCACAUUUUGGGAAAAUGCUGCGUCGAUGUAAAAAGUUUUCAGUGUAAAGCAUGAAAGUGAUGACACAUGGUUGGCAGGUAACGUUACAGAGAUUGAAGAUUGUUUUAGAGAACAACUGGUAAUGCAGAGGACAUGUUAAGUAAACAGUUUGUAGGUUCUGGCACAGUUUCACUCUACUUUUUAAAAGCCUUCUAACAUAAAUUUAUUUUUCAGCUUCAUAAGAAACAAAGAAGGCAGUUUGAUCUCCUCUGGACCAGUGGUGAUUCUUUUAGUUCCUUGAAAUGCACAUAUGUACCUUCGUUCAUCUGUUAACAUUACUACCUCUCAUUCUCACCAUCAACAUUGUGCUUUGUAUGGCAACAUGUAAUAAUGCAGAAUAUGAAAUUAAUGGAGAGUGUUGCCCAAUGUGUGAUCCAGGUAUGUGGCAUCCUUCACUCAGUACCACAACAUAUGAGGUCAGAUAUAAAGAGGUCAAAUUAUUAUUAUUAUUAUUAUUUUGUAAUUUGUCACAUGGUAACAGGCUUUGAACGGUCUCAUCAUUAUUACUGAUGAGGCUAAUAACUGUAAUAUGCUCAUGAAACAGUCUUAUAAGUUUGGACUGAUGUGGUCAAAGCUUUGUUAAAAAUGCACUUUUUUUAUUAUAUUAAUCAUUUAACUUAUUUGACAGAUGUAGGAUUAAGUGAUUCCCAACCAUGGUUUAUGAUGCAUAAAAUGUUUAUAUUUCACACAGUUGACAUAAAUAUACAGACAUACAAUAAAUAGAGCUUAUAUAAUUACACAUGUGUACAAGUUGUUAUUUUCAAAAGAUAUCUAUAAUAAUGUGUUGGCAAUAAUUAAUAUUGUCUAGGAAAAAGAGUUAAGAUCUAUUGUGAUGCGUACACAAGCACAACAUGUGAUUCAUGUCCUGCAAUGACCUACGCUAAUGUUCCUAAUGGAUUCACAAAAUGUCUACCAUGUUUUGUGUGUGAUUCAAGUAAUGGGUUGAGAGAAAAGCAGGCAUGUACAUCAAUAUCAGAUACAGUGUGUGAACCUCUUCCAGGUUAUUACUGUGUAGACUUGCUCUCAAACUGUAAAAAGGCCAUGAAACAUUCAACCUGCUCACCUGGGCAAUACAUCAACCAAACUGGAACAGAAUAUAGUGAUACGGUGUGUGAUAUCUGUCCUGAUGGUUCAUAUUCAGAUGGUACAUUCUGCAAACUGCAUACAAAGUGUGAAUCUCUUGGAAAAACAACAGUCAAAGCAGGACCUGAGAUAUCUGAUGUUGAAUGCAGUAAAGGAACACCUUAUUUACAGAUUUUAAUUCCAUCUAUGUGCGGAGUAUUUGUGGUGCUUGUCAUAAUUGCAGUUACUAUAAAGAGAAAAAAGAACCAUUCAAGGUUUUUCCUUGAUCAAACUUUGAUGGCAGACGGUCAUCCACACACACAGUAAAAAGAACUCUAACCACGUGAUCUGCAAGCAAAUGACUGAAUAAAAAAAUUUUAAUCCAAAGAAAAAGUUUGUGAUUUUUGCUUAUCCUAUUAAUUCAUGAAAUAUAAAAACAAGCACUGUCGAGACAUAAAAAAACAAAGUGUAAUUUACAUGUAAAUGUCAC